CACACUCAGGCUUAAUUACAGAUUUUAUCUUAAGUGCAGGUUUGGUGGCAGAUUAAAUAUAGCAUUGAAGAAAAUAACAAGAUUUACUUUUCUUAGUUACUGUUUGAUACUAUAGACGAUGAGGUUGGAGCUGCGUUUUCCAUGGUAUACAUAUUUGGAGCUCCGGUCAUGUUUGUUGGGUGUGGGCAGUGCUACACACACCUCAAAAAGUUGAAUGUAAAAUCAAUUGUGAAGACCCCUUUGGUUAGAAUGCUUAGGUUAGAAUGUUUUUGUUCUUUUAAUGUUGGUUUGGAUGAUUGGGAAAUGCUCCUUUUUUACAUUUGAAGUUUAUAGUAUGAGUUCGAUUAA